GACAGUACCCCAGGAAUAAGUCUCGGCUAACUACGUGCCAGCAGCCGCGGUAACACGUAGGAGACAAGCGUUAUCCAGAUUUACUGGGCGUAAAGGGCAUGUAGGCGGUUUUCUAAGUCAGGUGUUAAAGCUCCCGGCUCAACUGGGAGAGGCCGUUUGAUACUGGAAAACUUGAGGGUGGUAGAGGAGAGUGGAAUUCCCGGUGUAGUGGUGAAAUGCGUAGAUAUCGGGAGGAACACCAGUGGCGAAGGCGGCUCUCUGGGCCACGCCUGACGCUGAGAUGCGAAAGCUAGGGGAGAGAACGGGAUUAGAAACCCCGGUAUUCCUAGCCGUAAACGAUGUCAACUAGGCGUAGGAGGUUAUUGACCCCUUCUGUGCUGAAGCCAACGCAUUAAGUUGACCGCCUGGGGACUACGGCCGCAAGGCUAAAACUCAAAGGAAUUGACGGGGGCCCGCACAAGCAGCGGAGCGUGUGGUUUAAUUCGAGGCUACGCGAAGAACCUUACCAGGGUUUGACAUGAUGGUGGUAGGGAAGAGAAAUCGGACCGACCCUUCGGGGAGUCAUCACAGGUGCUGCAUGGCUGUCGUCAGCUCGUGCCGUGAGGUGUUAGGUUAAGUCCUGUAACGAGCGCAACCCUCGUCGCUAGUUAUACGUGUCUAGCGAGACUGCCGGUGAUAAGCCGGAGGAAGGUGGGGAUGACGUCAAGUCAGCAUGGCCUUUAUAUCCUGGGCUACACACACGCUACAAUGGCCGGUACAAUGGGUAGCCAAGCCGCGAGGUGGAGCCAAUCCCAAAAAGUCGGUCUCAGUUCGGAUUGUAGGCUGCAACUCGCCUGCAUGAAGUCGGAGUUGCUAGUAACCGCGCGUCAGAACAGUGCGGUGAAUACGUUCCCGGGCCUUGUACACACCGCCCGUCACGUCCUGGAAGUUGGCAACGCCUAAAGUCGGUGGGCUAACCUGCAAAGGGGGCAGCCGCCUAAGGCGGGGUUGGUAACUGGGACGAAGUCGUAACAAGGUAGCCGUA
rnacentral:rRNA from 1 species